CUAUGUUUGUCUGACCAGGGCAGUGUGUACCUUUGCCAACCAGUUACUGGAUGAGCCUGAGUGUUGGCAAUUUUCUAAUGGAAACAUUCUCACUCUUACCAAGUUUUGAGAGCCAGGAUGAGCAGUCCCUUGGGCCGACCAUCAUGCCUCGGACCUCAUGGGGAUGUGGUCAGCCGCCGUUGACUGGAGGCACUUUCCUUGCCACAGGCUCCUAGGCUUUGUCCACUGCUGUGCUGUGGAUGUGACAGGCAUACCCUGAAAACCCUAGGCGCCACUUCCAUUUCUCAGUUCACCAUGGGCUUCAACAAACUGGGAGGAGGAAAAAACAGAAACAGAUCCUUUCAACAAACAUGUAAAUUACAUAAGACUUACCUAGAGAUAGGGCAACGAUGAAUAGUAGGAAGCACAUUGAAUGGGAAACUUGAGGGCCAAGGUACAGGCCAACAGCUGUCAUCUUAGCCACAUGACAUCAGCUGGGUUGUUUCACCUCUCUGGGCCGCAGCUUCUUCAUCUGUCAGAUGACAGAUUAGACUAGAAUGAAUUCUAAUUUCCCUUUCAGUUUUGACAGUCAAUGAUGCUAAUCUGUGAUCUGAAAACCUGAGUAGAAAUUGGCAUGGUGAGAGAGCACAAUUAGGUAAUGAAAAUUCACUAGAAUCCCUGUUUCAUGAGGAAGGAAGAAAGGAAGGCAGGAAGGCAGGAAGGCAGGGAGGGAAAGAAAAGGAAGGGAGAGAAAGAAAAGAGAGAGAUUGAUUCAAGAGUCAUAAGUAAAACAUACAAACACACACACACACACACACACACACACAAAUAUUGCAGAAAAGAUCAUGCCGAGUAAGAGGCUGAACUCUUUUUGUCCAUAAAAACAGAGCCCAGGUACCUGGGUGGUGACAGCACAGCCCACUUCAUCAAGGAAGUUGAAAUGGAAAAAGAUUAUGUGUUGUCAAUUCAGGUGAAAGUCAAGAAACAUCAGUGGAAACCAAAAUCUUCCUUUUAUUGAAACCAUUCUACAUUAUGGAACAUUUUUACAAAUAGUACCAGCGGCAUUGCAUAGCUUUAUUUUGCAGCAAGAAAGAGACUUCAAAGAUCAGCUUAUUCAACCCUCUAUAAAAGGAUUUAUAGAUUCCUUUUAUUAAGUAGAGUGAUUUUCUCAUGAGUUUUCACCAUGUUUAAAAGACACUGUGCCCCACUCUCUUCCCAAGGUCUAUGGUCAACUUGACUCAAUGCUCUUAACUUUCCUUACUGAUUCCUGCUUAUC
rnacentral:lncRNA from 1 species